AAAUUCACGCUGGCAACUCUGACAAGCAGCCGAGAUGUCUUCCUCUCGUAAUUUACAAAGAAAACCAUAUUUAAUAUAGCGUCGACGCCAUUUUCGUGCGUUAUAAUCCAUUGAAUUGAUUUAAAUCACUUAUUGAACCGUAUUGUGAAUCUUGUUAUCGUGAAAUAAAGUGUUGAAAAUCAUCAUUGUUGCCAUUAAAUUGUAAGACAAGGUAUAAUACCAGUUAAUCAUGUCUGAUGAAGAGGUGACGGUUGAGACUUCAGACGGCCAGAUCCUGUCUGCCGAAUAUAAGGAUGGUCAACUACAAAUAGUGGAAGUCACACCAUUUGAAAAGAAUCAGGAAAACCACAUCUUACCCGACUUGUCAGAGGAAGGUGGUGAGGGCACCAAGUAUAUGCAAGUGUUAGACACAAGCAAGGGAUUGGUGCAGCUUGAUCUACUUAAUUUGACACUAGUCAGAUGUCAAAAUGUUGGAGAGUCGGAGUCAUUCCAACUGGUGGCCAACGCAGGCACGUCGGACGGAGACAUCUCAUCUGAUGCCACCGUCACCUGUGUGCUGCAGUCCAGUGAUACUGAAGAUCCAGACAACCAAGACUCGUACGUAAUGGUAGAGAAUGAGGAUGGACAGGGCUCCCUGGUGAUCCUCAAGUCUGCACUGCAGCAGGCCACCGCUGUGCAGGAGCCUGCUGAAGAACCUAAGAAAACUUUGUCACCAGCAGAUUUGUUAGAAAAGGCGAAGUCUCUACACAAAGCCAAAGCUUUACAAGCGAGCCGUGGCCGCGGCCGGAAGCGGAAGAGCGACCUGCCGCCUCCGCACGAGCUGCUAGCCUCGCCCAACUUCCGCCUGUACCUGUACUCCUGCAAGCUCUGCGCCUUCAAGUGUAAUGCCGUCAAGGAGAUGUCUGCUCACAAGGCCCGCGAGCACGGCGGCGCGAGUCGCGGUCGGUCGGGCGGCGGGCGCGGCGCCGCCGUCACGCUGCAGUGCGCGAGGUGUCCCUUCCGCGCCGCCGUGCACACACAGUUGAUGAAGCACGUGCAAGAGAAACAUCUGGAGGGUGAAACCAGUAAAUCUACCGAUUUGUCCCCGGCGGUGCAGGUGCAGCUGUACAGCGCGGCGGUGGCGGCGGCCGACGUGCUGGUGUGCGGCGCCUGCGGCUACGAGUCCGCCUCGCGCCUCGCCUUCCGCCGCCACAUCGAGCGGCACCAUGACGUCACCACCUGCUGACAGUAUGUACUGUCAUACAUCUAUACGAGUCCGCCUCGCGCCUCGCCUUCCGCCGCCACAUCGAGCGGCACCAUGACGUCACCACCUGCUGACAGUAUGUACUGUCAUACAUCUAUACGAGUCCGCCUCGCGCCUCGCCUUCCGCCGCCACAUCGAGCGGCACCAUGACGUCACCACCUGCUGACAGUAUGUACUGUCAUACAUCUAUACGAGUCCGCCUCGCGCCUCGCCUUCCGCCGCCACAUCGAGCGGCACCAUGACGUCACCACCUGCUGACAGUAUGUACUGUCAUACAUCUAUACGAGUCCGCCUCGCGCCUCGCCUUCCGCCGCCACAUCGAGCGGCACCAUGACGUCACCACCUGCUGACAGUAUGUACUGUCAUACAUCUAUACGAGUCCGCCUCGCGCCUCGCCUUCCGCCGCCACAUCGAGCGGCACCAUGACGUCACCACCUGCUGACAGUAUGUACUGUCAUACAUCUAUACGAGUCCGCCUCGCGCCUCGCCUUCCGCCGCCACAUCGAGCGGCACCAUGACGUCACCACCUGCUGACAGUAUGUACUGUCAUACAUCUAUACGAGUCCGCCUCGCGCCUCGCCUUCCGCCGCCACAUCGAGCGGCACCAUGACGUCACCACCUGCUGACAGUAUGUACUGUCAUACAUCUAUACGAGUCCGCCUCGCGCCUCGCCUUCCGCCGCCACAUCGAGCGGCACCAUGACGUCACCACCUGCUGACAGUAUGUACUGUCAUACAUCUAUACGAGUCCGCCUCGCGCCUCGCCUUCCGCCGCCACAUCGAGCGGCACCAUGACGUCACCACCUGCUGACAGUAUGUACUGUCAUACAUCUAUACGAGUCCGCCUCGCGCCUCGCCUUCCGCCGCCACAUCGAGCGGCACCAUGACGUCACCACCUGCUGACAGUAUGUACUGUCAUACAUCUAUACGAGUCCGCCUCGCGCCUCGCCUUCCGCCGCCACAUCGAGCGGCACCAUGACGUCACCACCUGCUGACAGUAUGUACUGUCAUACAUCUAUACGAGUCCGCCUCGCGCCUCGCCUUCCGCCGCCACAUCGAGCGGCACCAUGACGUCACCACCUGCUGACAGUGCGGUAUUCUGGACUAAACAUCCAAAUCAACAAGGAAUUGAAAUCACAUUCUUUGUUAUUAUCUUUGAGCGCAGUCUUCAUGAAGUCAAUAUAUUCCUAGCUAAGGUUAUUCCAUCGGUUUCACCUGUGAAUAAAAACUAUUCUGUUACUAUUACUCACCCACGGAGUAAGGGAAGAUGAGCGGGGAUGUCAUAACGCAGGUAGGUCAAAAACGUUCGGUCGUCUCAAAUACGAACGGUGUUUGUGACUAAGGGUCCGUCCAAACAGACCGGCUCGGAGAGCAUCGGCGCGCAUUUUUCUUUUCACACAGACCGGAGCUGAUCGGCUGCGCGAGCAUUAAAGAGCAUGCAAUCGGAGCCAAACGUCAAGAAAAAGU